AGCGAACGCUGGCGGCAGGCUUAACACAUGCAAGUCGAACGCCCCGCAAGGGGAGUGGCAGACGGGUGAGUAACACGUGGGAACGUACCCUUUGGUUCGGAAUAACUUGGGAAAACUCAAGCUAAUACCGGAUAAGCCCUUAUGGGGAAAGGUUUACUGCCGAAGGAUCGGCCCGCGUCUGAUUAGCUAGUUGGUGAGGUAAUGGCUCACCAAGGCGACGAUCAGUAGCUGGCCUGAGAGGAUGAUCAGCCACACUGGGACUGAGACACGGCCCAGACUCCUACGGGAGGCAGCAGUGGGGAAUAUUGGACAAUGGGGGCAACCCUGAUCCAGCCAUGCCGCGUGAGUGAUGAAGGCCUUAGGGUUGUAAAGCUCUUUUACCCGGGACGAUAAUGACUGUACCGGGAGAAUAAGCCCCGGCUAACUUCGUGCCAGCAGCCGCAGUAA
rnacentral:rRNA from 1 species